rnacentral:rRNA from 1 species
GUACGUGAAACCGUUCAGGGGUAAACGGGAGAAAUCCUGAAUUCGAAAGGGGCCCUGGAUUCAACGCAGUCCUGCACCGAAGUGUGCUUGCGACUUUGCCAGAUGUCGCCGGGCGCCCGCGGCGAUUCACUUCGCCCGCGGUGUCGUUCCAGGCGUUCACUCGGCGGGUUGUAACGUCACGAGUGGGAUGUGUGCACUUCCACCCUAGUAGAAACGUCGCGACCCGCUGGGUGCCGGCCUCAAGGCCCGGGAUGGCAGACCGCGCGUUCCUGCGGAGCCCUUCGGGGUUUCCGAAAGGGCGCGCGGACUCCCGGUGACCCGGCCGGCUGCUCGGCGGUACAACCAGAGGAGUCGAUCCGCUAGAAAGAGAAACACUAUGGCCAUGUGAAGCGUCCGGUCCGGCGCCGAUGCGUGCGGGGAUUAAAACGAAGGAGUCAAAAACCCGGGGGACAACCGUGCCUGGCACGGUCCCGGCCCCGCCGCGCACUCGGUUCUAAGCCGGCAGUCCUCGGACUGGAUCGAAACUCCCGUCCGCGACGACCACCUUCGGAUGG